UGGAUAUGAUGACUGAUUACCUGAGAAAUA
rnacentral:piRNA from 3 species